rnacentral:rRNA from 1 species
UGAACGCUAGCGGCAGGCCUAACACAUGCAAGUCGAGGGGUAACAGGAGAGCUUGCUCUCGCUGACGACCGGCGCACGGGUGCGUAACGCGUAUGCAAUCUACCUUCAACUGAGGGAUAGCCCGAGGAAACUCGGAUUAAUACCUCAUAAUUUUAGUUUUUGGCAUCAUUAACUAAUUAAAGCUCCGGCGGUUGAAGAUGAGCAUGCGUGACAUUAGUUUGUUGGUAAGGUAACGGCUUACCAAGGCUACGAUGUCUAGGGGUUCUGAGAGGAUGAUCCCCCACACUGGUACUGAGACACGGACCAGACUCCUACGGGAGGCAGCAGUGAGGAAUAUUGGUCAAUGGACGCAAGUCUGAACCAGCCAUGCCGCGUGCAGGAUGACGGCCUUAUGGGUUGUAAACUGCUUUUAUAUGGGAAUAAUUGCCACUACGUGUAGUGGUUUGCAUGUACCAUACGAAUAAGGAUCGGCUAACUCC